UUCUAGAGCUAGUCUUUAGAUCAUAUGCAUGCUUACUCACUUAGACUUAACUAAUCGGAAGUCGGCUUAAGUUAAAAAUUGAAU
rnacentral:sRNA from 1 species